GACGAACGCUGGCGGCGUGCUUAACACAUGCAAGUCGAACGGAAAGGCCCUGCUUUUGUGGGGUGCUCGAGUGGCGAACGGGUGAGUAACACGUGAGUAACCUGCCCUUGACUUUGGGAUAACUUCAGGAAACUGGGGCUAAUACCGGAUAGGAGCUCCUGCUGCAUGGUGGGGGUUGGAAAGUUUCGGCGGUUGGGGAUGGACUCGCGGCUUAUCAGCUUGUUGGUGGGGUAGUGGCUUACCAAGGCUUUGACGGGUAGCCGGCCUGAGAGGGUGACCGGCCAGAGUGGGACUGAGAUACGGCCCGGACUCCUCCGGGAGGCAGCAGUGGGGAAUAUUGCACAAUGGGCGGAAGCCUGAUGCCGCAACGCGGCGGGGGGGAUGACGGCCUUCGGGUUGUAAACCGCGUUCGCCUGUGACGAAGCGUGAGUGACGGUAAUGGGUAAAGAAGCACCGGCUAACUACGUG
rnacentral:rRNA from 1 species